GGGGGAUUUAAUAAUUAAAUAAAAUAAUAAAAGAAAUUUUAAAAAUAUAUUUUAAUGGGGGUUAAAGUAUAUAUAAUAGAAUAGAUUUUAUAAUUUAUAGGGGAUUAGUAUUGAGAAAGAAUAUUGAAAUAAUUUGAAAAUUAAUUAUUUAAUAAGUAAAUUUAAUUUGUUGUAUCUUGGGUAUCAGAGUUUAUUAAAAAAAAUUUUUAUAUAAAAAAAUCUCGAAUUUUAAAGAGAUAAUUAAUUAUUAAAGUUAUUGUAUCAUAAAUAUUUUUAAUAAUUAAUUUGAAAUGAAAUGUUAAUCGUUUUAAAAUAUAUCUAGUUUUUUUAGAAAUAAAUUUAAUUUAGAAUUUUUUUUUAAUAAAAUUAAAUAAUUAAUUUUAUUAAAAAAAAAUUUAAUAUUUUAAGGGAUAAUCUUUAAAAUAAAAUAAUUAUAAUAUAUAAUUUUAAUUAAAUUAAAAUUUUUAAAAUUUAUAUUGUUUAUAAAUUAAUUUUUUUUAUAAAAAAUUUUAUUUAUAAAUAAAAUUUUUAAUUUAUUUAAUUUUAUAUAAAAAAUUAAUUUUUUAUAUAAAAAAAUUAGUUAUAAUGAUAAAAUUAGUAUAAUUUUAUAUUAAUAACAUUUGUAAAUAUAUUAUUUAUAUUAAAAUAUAUUAUUAGUAAAAUAAAUUAAAAAUAAAUAAAUUAAUAAUUAAAUAAAAGGAAUUUGGCAAAAAUUUAUAUUCACUUGUUUAUCAAAAACAUGUCUUUUUGUUAAUAAUUUAAAGUCGAAUUUGCCCACUGAUUUAUAUUAAAGGGCUGCAGUAUAUUGACUGUACAAAGGUAGCAUAAUCAUUAGUCUUUUAAUUGGAGACUUGUAUGAAAGAUUUGAUGAAAUAUUAACUGUCUCUUUUUUAUAAUUAGAAUUUAAUUUUUUAGUCAGAAAGCUAAAAUAAAUUUAAAAGACGAGAAGACCCUAUAGAGUUUUAUAAUUAAAUAAGUUAUAAAUUUUUAUUUAUUUAAAAUAAGAAUUAAUUUAAUUAUUUUAUUGGGGUGAUAAAAAAAUUAAAUAAACUUUUUUUUAUGUUAAACAUAAGUUAAUGAAAUUAUGAUCCAUAAUUUUUGAUUAUAAGAAAAAAUUACCUUAGGGAUAACAGCGUAAUUUUUUUUUUUAGUUCAUAUAAGAAAAAAAGUUUGCGACCUCGAUGUUGGAUUAAGAUAAAGUUUAAAUGCAGAAGUUUAAAAUUUUUGAUCUGUUCGAUCAUUAAAAUCUUACAUGAUCUGAGUUCAAACCGGCGUAAGCCAGGUUGGUUUCUAUCUUUAGAUAAUUAAAAUAUUUUAGUACGAAAGGAUUAAAUAUUAAAAAUAAUUUUAAAAUAAAGAAUUUUAUUAAUUAUAAUUAU
rnacentral:rRNA from 1 species